UACGUAGGGCGCAAGCGUUAUCCGGAAUUAUUGGGCGUAAAGAGCUCGUAGGCGGUUUGUCGCGUCUGCCGUGAAAGUCCGGGGCUCAACUCCGGAUCUGCGGUGGGUACGGGCAGACUAGAGUGAUGUAGGGGAGACUGGAAUUCCUGGUGUAGCGGUGAAAUGCGCAGAUAUCUGCAGGAACACCCGUGGCGAAGGCGGCUGACUGGAUCGCAACUGACACUGAGGAACGAAAGCUAGGGGAGCAAACAGG
rnacentral:rRNA from 1 species